GGUGGCUACGGCUGUGACACUAUCAACUUUAAUCAUGUUUGCCGGAUUUUUCACUGUGCUUUUAGAGAUGUCACCAUGCCAGUCAAGAUUACCUUGUGCAAUAUGGUUCAACAAGGUAUAGUGCUCAUCAUAGAUUUUCUCCAAUGCUUGACCACCUACAACUGAAUCUAACAAAAUUUUCGUAUUAUGGUCAAUAGCUUCUAUAAAGGUGUAAGCCAGUACCUCAUUGGACUGUUGGUGAUGUGGACAGUCCUUGAGAAGUGAUUUAAACCUCUCCCAUGCAUGAUAUAAGUUUUCAUCCGGCUUCUGCUUGAAAUUCAAGAUUUCACUGCGUAGCCUUGCAGUCUUGCCGGAUGGGAAGAAACGGAUGAGGAACUUCCUUGCCAAGUCGUCCCAUGUAGUGAUAGAAACUGCCGGCUCGACGUUCAACCACUUCUUUGCUUCCCCCAAAAGUGAGAAGGGAAAUUAAUCCGUAGAGACUCCAGGGGGAAUGAACAUGUCACUUAUCUCCAAAAAGUUUUGUAAGUGGACCUGUAGAUCCUCAUGUGACAAACCAGUAAACUACUCACUACUGUGCAAAAGUUGCUGAAUUUGCGGACUUCGGUAGAGAAGUACUGCUUCUCUCCUUAUUUGGUAUAAGCAUUGCUCAGGUUCGGGAUAUAGUUCAGCCAACUCUCCGUCCCUUGAUAGCUUACUUGCUUUACAAACUUGUGCCUGCAAAUUCAGAAGCUAAGAUCAAGUACUUAUCACUCACGAAAUCAAAUGACAAAACUAAACUAAGACAGUUGUCAAUUUUCAAGUCCUCGUCAACAAUGCCAAAAACUUGUUGUGCCCAAGCGCACACGCAAGUGUACGUGGUCCACCAAGUAGUAAAAUGGCCUUAAAAAUCCAAGUAUCGAUCCCUCAUGGACUUGUGUUAAACAACUAUCUAAUUCUAGUUCACUAUGAAGAUGAAUCAAGUGCUAAAGUAACCAAGAGUAAUUGAGUGUUAACAAUUAAAAGUAAACUUAACAAUAAGGUAAUGUAAAGGUCUUGAACAAUAAUGCAGGUGCAAGGUGAUAUGCUAAGUAGGUUGAAGCAGGUGCAGAAAGGAGAUAAAUUUAGCAUUAAAAAACUCUACUUAUUGUAGAUACCUCAGCACCCUAAAGUAACCUGGAAAAAGCUGACCUUGCAGCCUCAUAUGCAGCUUACUCAUAAAUUUAAUUUAUGGCUAGCUUUGCAACAAAAAUUGGCAACAGUUGAUAGACUGAUGAAAAUUGUUAUUCAAGCUCCUAAAACCUGUGUGUUUUGUGGGCUACCUGAUGAACUGUUUGACUAUUUAUUUUUUGACUGUUUUACUGUGGCAUUACAAAGGGCAUUUGGAGCAGGUUGCUUUGAUGGCUUGGUCAAAAUAGAAGAAUUGGAAGCUGGAGUGCUGAGGUUGACUGGUUGGUGACAGGUAUGAAGCAGACUUUAGGUUUCUGGGAAAUUGCUGCAGUUUUGUUCAACAUGACGAUCUACUCAAUAUGGAGAGCCAGAAACACCCUCAGAUUUCAGAAAGGCACCUAUUCUAGUGAUAAAAUUUGUAGAGACAUUGCAUUACAUACAAAGGGAAACCUUGUAGCUAGAUGGCACAAGUACCUGCAGACUUUAAAUUCCUAUCCUUGAUGUAUAAAUAGAGUGUAGUUGUUCUUUACUUUCAGAUGUGUGUAUAUGCUUAGGUACUUAUAGGAUGUGAGAGGUGAUUGGUCAGCAAUCCCCAAGGUUUGUAAUGACUAUAUUUUGGUGAAAUCGAAACACUGUUUACCCAAAAAAAUAAUGGGGAGAAACUCAGGGUUA
rnacentral:lncRNA from 1 species